GCUAAACACCCUUCCUAAUUAUCCACGAUUACUGUUAUUCUAAACCAAAUCACACGGCGUCUUCACGGGCGAUUGGAUCUGAGCUUGAGGCGGAGAUGGCGGAGGACGGAGGCAGAGGCCGCCGUCUCUGCCGGUCGACAACGGAGAAAACGGCCGCAACCGAGGAGGACGGCCAUGGAGGGGAGGGUGCUUGCCUCGAUCCGGAUGAGGGGAGCAGCAGCUGCGACCUCGAUGCGGAUGAGGAGAGCAGCAACCGCGCCCCUGUUCUUCGAGGCGCGGCGGCCGGCGGCCUCGGCUAGGAGCUUUGCCCUCUUAUUCCCGCGCGGUGCAGCGGCGACCUGAGGACGAGUUCGAGACAUAGUGGUGGUUCCAGCACACGACGCCGGGGGAGGCGGCGGUGCUUCCUUGCCUUGUCUAUUCUCCUUAUCUGAGGUCCGUCCGACGGCAGAUGCACACCCGACAUCGUCAUGGAGGCUCCGACCCCGAGGCACCCUCUCUGCUUCCUUCUGGUUGCAUCUCCCCCUGGUGAGCUCCUUCUUUCUUCAGUUCCUCGUAAUUAUUUUUCAUUCUGCAGUAGGGUAUGGGUGCCCGGGUCUCUUUUAACUUAAUCCCCACAAAUUCUCAUAUUGCUAUGUGCAGAUUCUAUUUUAUCCAUGCCUACAUGGUGCACAACAGAACUCCUAACAGGCUUGCAAUCUCACGCGUAAGGGAAGAUGUGUUCCUCUCUGGCUAGCACCUGCUCGAUCAAAUGCCUAGCCAUUUCAAUCGUUUAUUGUAGGAAAUAUAAGGUGCACCCAAAUAGGAGGCCAUUCUGUGCAGCCUAUUCUUUUUGGUUCUAGGAAUCCUAUGGUAGAGGGUGGUGUUAGUUCUAUAAAUAACUUUCAGACAUUUGUAGUUUUUCAGGUUGUAGCGUGACAACUUUGAUCAAAAUUUGUUUCAGUUGACUCUACAUUCCAUUCGUUGAUUUUGUGUUCUUAACUGAAAGCAGAGUUUGUUGAUCUAUGUGACUUGGAUUAGUAUUCUUCUCUUUGCUAUGCUAAUAUUCACCUUGCUUCAGUUGACCCCACUUUCCGUUCGUUGAUUUUGUGUUCUUAACUGAAAGCAGAGUUUGUUGGUGUAAGUGACUUGGAUCAGUAUUCUUCUUUUUGCAUAUGCUAAUAUUCACCUCUAACAGCUGCUAAAGUAUCAUGGCAUUAUACCAAACUCUGCUCUGCCCAAAUUUUCCAGGCCUGAAGAGAGGAAGAGUAGGCCGGCGGCAAGGAUCCAGUGACGACUGCCUCCGUAGCGCAGAUACUUUGGAUCUAUGUGCUUUGGCCAAAUUGGUCAGGCCUGAGACUGAUUAGAAGACCUUUUCUGAUAUCCUUGAAUUAGCCGUGGAAGGCAGAGGAAGUAGAGAUAAAAAUGACAGAUGGGCCUGGAAGAUACACCAGAAACAGAAGAAAAAGUUCUCAAAAUUGCGGAAGAGCGAUAUAGAGGCCGGUGAUCAACUCUAAGCUCCACUUACAAGGCAUACAAAACAGAUGCAGCUAGAUUGGCUAAUCUGUCGGAAGAUUUACAACCGGAAGAGUGAAUGGAUGAUUGAGUACUUUGGCACUCAUUCAAAAUUUCAGGAACACAACUGAAAGAACACCGAUAACCGUAAGAAACAGAAGACAAAACACAAAAUUAGAUCAAAAUCUUACUCGCAACUAAGUUUUGAGAAGGUAUGAAUCUAACUAAAUAUGUAUGCCUCGCUGCUAACUCUCACCUAGGCGAAGAAUGGAACAUGGUCUAACACAGAGUCCCAGGAUGUUUAAGACAAAACACGUCAAGAGGUUGAAAACAAAGAAACUGAAACUCAUGGUCCAUUUUCAAGAUCCAAAGAAUUAGCUCGACUGGACUCUAGAUCACACACAGUUUAGUCUUGGCACUUAAUUGGGAUGGCUAAAUUACAUUUGAGUUUCAUUUGAUGGAUAUUUACUAUGAGAAUUAUGAAUUUUAUUAAUCUACAUAUUAUACGUAUGGUUUUGAAUAUUGUAAUUGAUUGCCUGUAUUUUUUUUAGGUUGCAAUAGGCUAUUGCCACAACCCACUUUUGGUUGCCACAUGUUAGCACCACAAAAGUUAAAAUUGUCACAAUAGUUUCUCGC
rnacentral:rRNA from 1 species